rnacentral:tRNA from 1 species
UCCUUGGUGGUCCAGUGGUUAAGACCCUGAACUUCCACUGCAGGGAGCACAGGCUUGAUUCCUGUCAGGGAA